GUCAUUAUGAGGUGUCGCCUGCAGGAAGCCGAGUGCAAAGCUGUGAGCCGACGAACAGAAACGUCAUAUACUAUACAUCGGCUUAGGAAGAAAUUUUGUC
rfam:Desulfuromonadales bacterium C00003096 3datasets_contig_72518.2, whole genome shotgun sequence.